AUAAUUAUCAAUUCCUUUCAUAAGAAUUAACUGUUAACUAGAGUUUACACCACCUAAUAAAAAGACAUCCUAGCUUUACCAUCUUGUGAAACAAUCCAUUAAUUGUAAUAUUACGUUGAGCGCCUUGUUCAUCAAUGCUAUAAUUAGUUACAUAAUAAAUUGAACAUCUAAAUACACCAAAUCCCCUCACUAUUGCCCUAGUGAGGGGAUUU
rnacentral:sRNA from 1 species